rnacentral:rRNA from 1 species
UACGGGGGGAGCAAGCGUUGUUCGGAUUUACUGGGCGUAAAGGGCGCGUAGGCGGUCAGCACAAGUCAGUUGUGAAAUCUCCGGGCUUAACUCGGAAAGGUCAACUGAUACUGUGCGACUAGAGUGCGGAAGGGGCAACUGGAAUUCUCGGUGUAGCGGUGAAAUGCGUAGAUAUCGAGAGGAACACCUGCGGCGAAGGCGGGUGCUGGGCUGACACUGACGCUGAGGCGCGAAGCGUGGGGAGCAAACAGG